AUAAAUCUUUUUUUAUGAAAACGUGAAAAUUAAAAAAUUGCAUGAUUACAUUAUUAUUUUUAAAUUGAUCAAAAAUUAACAUCAAUUGUACUUAAUUUUGUAAGUGUUGUUAAGGCACAAGACAUGAUGAAAUCUGUUAAAUCUUUAUAUAUAUUACUCAGUUUUUAUUUGCUUCAUAUUAAAUAAAAAUAUUAAGUAUUUACAAUUUUUUAAUUUAAGCGCACAACUAUUAUUCUCUAGUAUCGAUAGAAUUUUAACAAAAAUACAGUUUAUCUCUAACAUUGUAUUUGCACAAAUAAAUGUAAAUGUUAUGUUUCCUGGGUUACACGACAUUUUCCCGAAAACUAGAUGAGAAAAUGUUGGUACUAACCAAAUUCUCUAGGCAAUACCGUUUCAAUUUCUGCAGGUUAGUAACACUGUUAAAGUAGUAAAUCCAAGGUUUGCAGAGUCGGUUUUGACGUAUGCGCGCGUAUAUGUCAAACAAUAAAUAUUAUAUAAAUGAUUUAUGACAUUUGAUUUAAUAAAUGAAUAAAAAUUACACAAAUAACUAAAAAUAUAGUGCAUAGAGAUGAACAAGUUUCUUUGAUGUGCCUUGACAGACAAGAUUUAUGAUUGAAAUCUGGUUUUCCAUAUUAAAAUCAUUGUCAGCCGAGAAACAAAAUCUGUGCAAAAUAAAAUAGAAACAUAAAGAAGGAAGAGGGAAAAAAAUAAAUGGAGAAUAAACAAAUAUAUAUUAGAUAAGUAGCUAAUAUCUUUAUAAAAAAUCAUGUAUUCUAUAUGUGCUUUUUGUAGAUGAACCGAUUCUUUUCUUGAAUUAAUUUUUUGUUUCAGCUUCUUAGCCAAUUGUAGAAUGUUGACAGCUGGACCACCAGAGAACAAUUUCUUGCCGAAUAAAGCUGUCAAAUUCUAAGCCUGCUACUUCUUCGAGUAUGUCAAAAUUGUGAGCAAAAAAGUUGAAAUUAUAUUGUAACAUCAAUUAGAUUUAUCAACGGUGGAGUAACAGAUUGAUACAACAAACUGAGAGCAGGUUUGUCGAAAUUGUUUGUUCUACAAAGCAUAUGUGCUGUUUGUCUCAGCAAUGUACCGACAUUAUUUAAACUAAAAGAGAUCCCAGAUAGCACGGAGAGUUUAAAAAGAACUCAAUUGUAUGUCACCAAUUAUGUUACCAAUUAUCAAUUCUUUUUGAAUCUCUGUGCUAUCUGGGAUACUAUUGUGUUUAUCGUCAACCUGUCAUGAACGCUUUCGAUAGACCUGCUCAUUGUUUACUGUUAUUUUGUUAUAUAGUCUGCUGAUCGGUAUACACCUUUUAUCUUUCAGCAAACAGAAAAUGUGCUACCUACAUUGGCUUUUACAAGAAUGGGUUUAGAAGUAGCGAUGGAUGCUUGUCCAACAAUCGAAGAUCAUUUCAUAAGUGAAUACACUAUUUGAUGUAAAAUAAACCAAAAUUAUCUUUUUAAAAACGGUAAAAAAGACGCCAAGUGUAUGCUGUAGAAAACACCUCUUAAAUGUAAGAUAGUCUUCAUCUAAUUCAACCCAAGUAAUAUCACGAGCCUUCUUAUACUAUGACUAAAAUGUAACUUUAAUUAUUAAACUAAUAAUUAUUUUAAAUGAAUUAUACUCACAAACACACACACACACACAUUAACUACAAAAAUAAUGAUAUCAAAAUAUUUCUUUAACGAUAAUUUGUUUUACUUCAAAUAGUAUAUGUUUACUUACGAAAUGAUACUCGAUGUUACAAUGUGAUAUCAACUUUUUUGCUUACAAUUUUGGCAUACUCAAGGAAGUAGCAGGCUUAGAAUUUGACAGCAUACUCGGCAAGGAAUUGUUCUCUGAUGGUUCAGCUGUCAACAUUCUACAAUUAGCAAAGAAGCUGAAACAAAAAAUUAAUUCAAGAAAAGAAUCGGUUCAUCUACAAAAAGCACAUAUAGAAUACAUAAUUUCUUAUAAAGAUAUUAACUACUUAUC
rnacentral:lncRNA from 1 species